AACGAACACUGGCGGCAGGCCUAACACAUGCAAGUCGAUCGCUGUCUUCGGACAGAGAGGCGCACGGGUGAGUAACACGUGGGAACAUACCCUUGAGUGCGGAAUAACUAUUGGAAACGAUAGCUAAUACCGCAUACGCCCUACGGGGGAAAGAUUUAUCGCUCAAGGAUUGGCCCGCGUCCGAUUAGCUAGUUGGCGGGGUAACGGCCCACCAAGGCGACGAUCGGUAGCUGGUUUGAGAGAAUGAUCAGCCACACUGGGACUGAGACACGGCCCAGACUCCUACGGGAGGCAGCAGUGGGGAAUAUUGGACAAUGGGCGCAAGCCUGAUCCAGCCAUGCCGCGUGAGUGAAGAAGGCCUUCGGGUUGUAAAGCUCUUUCAGACGUGACGAUGAUGACGGUAGCGUCAGAAGAAGCCCCGGCUAACUUCGUGCCAGCCGCCGCGGUAA
rnacentral:rRNA from 1 species